UGAUACAAUGUUAUGUAUGCAAGAUGUCGAUGCAUCUUCGGGUUUAUGUAUGGGAUUGUGCGAAUGCAAGUUUUGCAAGUUGUGCCAAGUAUGGUUGGGCUUUGCGGGGGAACAUGUUUUGAGGAAUGCCAACGGUGAUUAGGCUUAAAAUUUGUUUGGGGAAAGUGUACUAAAUUCUCGUCAUCGGAAAACUGGAAUUUCUGACAUCCAAG
rnacentral:lncRNA from 1 species